CGGCCCAUGUGAACUGGGCCCACUAAACUUCUCACCUGGGGUUGAGGAUAUGCUUGUGUUCUUUCAGAUUUCAGACUUCUUCGGAUUCCCUUUUGGUUGGUGAAGCCUUACCAUGGCAUCAUGGAGACUCCCAGGAUAUCUUCCAGUGAACCAACACUCCCAGAGACUGACUAUGAGUGAGCGGCCACCAGCCCCCUUUUCCAGAUGGAAGAAGCCUCUUCAUUGACUCCUCAUCCUGAAGCCACUCUGCAAAUGCAAGUCCUUGCCCCUGAUAUAACAUAGGGAAGCCUUAAAACUCCUGUCUAACCAGGCCAGCAUCCUCUUAAAACUCAAUGAUAUUGCAUAGACCCCCGACUCGCACCUGAAGGCCUUGAUCUCCAUCAUGGACAAAAAUUAGAAUCACCCGUCAGACCAUCCAAGAGCAAAAGAAGGACCUGGAGCUCGUCAUGACAGUCCUUGAACACAAAACUAGAAGAACCAAAAAAAAAAAAAAAAACCCCACAAAAAAACAAAAAAGGGGGAACUGUGGGGAAUAAGCUUAGGAAUUCCCCGAGCCUGCGCUGAUGGGUUAACAAGGCAUAAAGAAUCAUGAAGCCAUAGGAUGCUCACACCCAAGUUUGGGUAAACAAGAUUAGGCAUACAAGGAUAGAGAAGGGGGGCAAAGGCCCCCAAUACAAAGAUAUAUGAGGUGAGCAAGAUUAGGUAUUCAGGGCAAAAGCACCCCCACCCCCAAUUUAGUAUUAUAGCAUAAAUCUGCUUUCACAGGAAGGAAGGACCAAACUAGGUAAACAGGGCUAUAGACCGCUGUGCUGCGGGUGAUACUGCCACAGUGGAGCUUAUUAGCAAAAGAAAGGUGUCUAGUUAAACCUUAGGUUAUGUGCUCUGUCUUAUCCCCUCGGCUAAGGUAAACAGAGGUGGUACCUCAUGUCUCCUUUAAACAACCUUUUGCGCAGCCACCUGGCACCAGGAUUUUGCUUUGUAUUAACCCAAACCCCUAACCCUGGAUAUCUUCAAGACCCCCUUUCCCUCACGUCCACGAGUUGCAUGUCCAUCAGCAUGUGUGUAAGCCUUCUGAUUAUAAUAAAAAUGGGGCAAGAACUCUUA